UGGGGAAUAUUGGACAAUGGGGCAACCCUGAUCCAGCAACGCCGCGUGGGGGAUGAAGGUCCUAGGAUUGUAAACCCCUGUUGGGAGGGACGAAGGCUUGCGGGCGAACAGUCCGUACGCUUGACGGUACCUCCAGAAGAAGCCCCGGCUAACUACGUGCCAGCAGCCGCGGUAAUACGUAGGGGGCGAGCGUUGUCCGGAUUUACUGGGCGUAAAGAGCGUGUAGGCGGCCAGGCAGGUCCGUUGUGAAAACUGGAGGCUCAACCUUCAGACGUCGACGGAAACCGCUUGGCUAGAGUCCGGAAGAGGAGAGUGGAAUUCCUGGUGUAGCGGUGAAAUGCGCAGAUAUCAGGAAGAACACCAAUGGCGAAGGCAGCUCUCUGGGACGGUACUGACGCUGAGACGCGAAAGCGUGGGGAGCGAACAGGAUUAGAUACCCUGGUAGUCCACGCCGUAAACGAUGGGUGCUAGGUGUGGGAGGUGUCGACUCCUCCCGUGCCGCAGCUAACG
rnacentral:rRNA from 1 species